CGCUUUGAUUCCAGGCGUAACGUUGCUUAAAGCUUAAAUUAUACAUGCCAGCCUCCACACGCCGGUGAGGAAGCCCCCUUCUAGCCCCCCCUAGACUAAAGGAGCCGGUAUCAGGCACACCCCCUCAGCCCACGACACCUAGCUAAUGCCACACCCCCACUGGGCCCCAGCAGUAAAAAAUACUAAGCAAUGAGCUACAGCUCGACUUGAUAAAAGCUUAAACAUCAGGGCCGGUAAACCCCGUGCCAGCCACCGCGGUUACACGAGGGGCCCAAAACAACAUACUCGGCGCAAAACGUGACUAGAGACAUAAUUCCGGCAAGUGGGUUUAUAAACCACAACAUAGCUGUAAAACGCACCAUGUGAGUGAAACGCACAACACUAUACCAACCACCCAUAAAAUUCUUGACCUCACGAAAACUAAGGCACAAACUAGGAUUAGAUACCCUACUAUGCUCAGUCGUAAACCCAGGUGUAAACCCACCACACCCGCCAGAGAACUACGAGCGAAAGCUUAAAACUCAAAAGACUUGACGGUGUCUCACACCAACCUAGAGGAGCCUGUCCUAUAAUCGAUGAUCCACGUUUGACCUCACCACCCCUUGCAUUUUUCAGCUUGUAUACCUCCGUCGCCAGCCCGCCUGACAACAGACACUAAAGCGGGCACAAUUGUUCAUCACUAGUACGUCAGGUCAAGGUGUAGCUAAUGGGUUGGAAAGAGAUGGGCUACAUUUUCUAAAUUAGAAAAAACCCACUUUAGGAUGAAAAUACUACAGUAAGGUGGAUUUAGCAGUAAGAUACGGCAAGACAUGCCUACCUGAAGCCCGCUCUGAGAU
rnacentral:rRNA from 1 species